rnacentral:rRNA from 1 species
AGACGGAGGGUGCAAGCGUUAAUCGGAAUUACUGGGCGUAAAGCGCUCGUAGGCGGCUUGUUAAGUCGGAUGUGAAAGCCCCGGGCUCAACCUGGGAACUGCAUUCGAUACUGGCAGGCUAGAGUAUAGUAGAGGCAAGUGGAAUUCCGGGUGUAGCGGUGAAAUGCGUAGAUAUCCGGAGGAACAUCAGUGGCGAAGGCGACUUGCUGGACUAAUACUGACGCUGAGGAGCGAAAGCGUGGGGAGCAAACCGGAUUAGAUACCCCGGUAGUCC